AUAUAUGAGUACAUUUGGUUUAAAAAUAAGUUUGACUUAUUGUUAUGUACAUAGAUGGUGAUAUUUAAGAUCUCUAAGCGUCACCAUUUUAAUAGUUUGAUUUGUAUAUGUGGUAUCAUGUAUGGGGGUUUGAGAACUUUGAAUAAAGCAAAUAUACUUUCUCUUUGGGAACCUAGAUUUGCCAGUGCAAAAGGAGUUUAAAGAGAGCAAGUGUGCCAGAGAGUAAAACCAGGGGCACAUCUGCCUGAAUUUCUUCACUAUAAGUCAUCAGAAGAGGGCUUUUGCAAAUGAUUUUGCAUGACACCCUCCUUCAGAUCAGUGAUUCUCUGUAAAAUGAGCAAUUUUUUAAUAACAACUUUCACACAAGUCUUCCAAAGUUAUAUGAUCCACAUUGCCCCCCUGCCUUCUGUGCUUCCCCCCUCCCAGAGCUGACAAGCAAUUCAGUCUGGGUUAUACAUGUAUUAUCACAUAAAACAUAUUUCCACAAUAUUCAUUUUUGUAAGUGAAUAAUCUAAAACCUGAACCUCAAAUCACACACCCAAAUAAACAAGUGAUAAAUCAUAUGUUUUCAUCUGCAUUUCUGCUCCCACAGUUCUUUCUCUGGAGGUGGAGAGCAUUCUUCCUCCCAAGUCCUCAGAAUUGUCUGAAUCACUGCAUUGCUGUUAGUAGCAAAGUCUGUCACAUUUGAUCAGUCCACAAUAUUGCAGUUGCUGUGAAUAAUGAUCUUGCGGUUCUGCUUACUUCACUCCACAUCAAUUCAUAAUUUAUUUCUAGUCAUCACAGCCCCUUUCUCCCGUCUCCAUACCAUAGAAGGCAUCAUCUGGCAAACAAACAAACAUGGAUAUGUAGAUGAUAUCUUUCAUGCUUCCACUUCUCAGUUCAUUCUCUGGAGGUAAACAUUCCCAAGUCACUGUACAAAUAUUAAAUCUGUAUCUGUAUAGAAUGAUCUCUUAGUUCUACUCCUUUCCCUCUUUGUUAUCUUGGAGACUUCUUUUCAAAUCAAAAAGGAUUUUAAAAGUAAAAUAAUAGAAGUAGAAGAAAAAUUUGAAAAAGGAAUGAGAUAGAGAAAAACCAUGGGAAAAGAGUUAACAGUUUGAUAAAAGAGGCACAAAAAUAAUGAAGAAAUUAAUAUCUUAAAAAACAGAAUAGGUCAGUUGUUUAAAAAAAAAAGGCAGAAAAAUACAAUGAAGACAAGUCCUUAAAAAAACAAAAACAACCAGAAUUGGCCAAAGGAAAAAUGAGGUACAAAAAUUCACUAAAGAAAAGAACUCAUUACAAAGUAGAAUUGAUCAAAUGGAAAAGGAGAUACAAAAGGCAAUAAAGUCUUAAAAAUCAGAAUUUAGCA
rnacentral:lncRNA from 1 species